AACGAACGCUGGCGGCAUGCCUAACACAUGCAAGUCGAACGAUCCCUUCGGGGAUAGUGGCGCACGGGUGCGUAACGCGUGGGAACCUGCCCUUAGGCUCGGAAUAACUCAGAGAAAUUUGAGCUAAUACCGGAUAAUGUCUUCGGACCAAAGAUUUAUCGCCUUUGGAUGGGCCCGCGUUGGAUUAGCUAGUUGGUGGGGUAAAGGCCUACCAAGGCGACGAUCCAUAGCUGGUCUGAGAGGAUGAUCAGCCACACUGGGACUGAGACACGGCCCAGACUCCUACGGGAGGCAGCAGUGGGGAAUAUUGGACAAUGGGCGAAAGCCUGAUCCAGCAAUGCCGCGUGAGUGAUGAAGGCCUUAGGGUUGUAAAGCUCUUUUACCCGGGAUGAUAAUGACAGUACCGGGAGAAUAAGCCCCGGCUAACUCCGUG
rnacentral:rRNA from 1 species